GAUGAACGCUGGCGGCGUGCUUAACACAUGCAAGUCGAACGGUGAACACGGAGCUUGCUCUGUGGGAUCAGUGGCGAACGGGUGAGUAACACGUGAGCAACCUGCCCCUGACUCUGGGAUAAGCGCUGGAAACGGCGUCUAAUACUGGAUAUGUGACGUGACCGCAUGGUCUGCGUUUGGAAAGAUUUUUCGGUUGGGGAUGGGCUCGCGGCCUAUCAGCUUGUUGGUGAGGUAAUGGCUCACCAAGGCGUCGACGGGUAGCCGGCCUGAGAGGGUGACCGGCCACACUGGGACUGAGACACGGCCCAGACUCCUACGGGAGGCAGCAGUGGGGAAUAUUGCACAAUGGGCGCAAGCCUGAUGCAGCAACGCCGCGUGAGGGAUGACGGCCUUCGGGUUGUAAACCCCUUUUAGCAGGGAAGAAGCGAAAGUGACGGUACCUGCAGAAAAAGCGCCGGCUAACUACGUG
rnacentral:rRNA from 1 species